rnacentral:lncRNA from 1 species
CUCAUCUCAGCUGAUCUGGCUGGCUCCUAUCGUUCUUCUAUUUUAUAAUUAUCUAUACUAGUAGUAGUAUCUCGUGCAAAAGCUGCUGCUACGAUGUCGUUCUACUAUUACGCCAAUCAUGAGAUUCAUGACCGGCUGCUUUUGUCUAUACGCUUUUCAUAAAUCCCCUGAAAAGCACAUAUCAAAACGAUUUGGCACACCCCUAUUGUUUAUACUCUGUAGGCUUCGAGUAAUUUCUAAAAUAAUUUAUCUUCUAUUAUCAUGAUAUAUUUAAAAUAAGUUUUCCUGAAAUAUUUACUAAGUAUAUGAUAUCCUAAUUAAUAAAAAAAGUUAUUUGUUGAGAUUAAUUUCAUUAUUUUAUACAAUAAAAAAUUACUUUGUCCCAUAAAAAUAUAUUUACUUUUCUAUUCACUUAUCUAAAUUGCAUUCUUAUUUAUUUUUCUAAAAGAAUAUAAUCCUUUUAAUUUUCUACUGUACCCUUAUUUAGUAUGAAUCUUUAUCAAUAGUAAUUAUAUUAUUAUUAUUAUUAUUAUUAAAUUUUGAAAUAGGUAUUUAAUCAAAAUAUAAAAUUUUUUCAUAUUUCAGUUUAAUUAGGAAAAAUUAUAAGAAUAUUAAAAAAAUUAUGAUUUAACUAUAAAUUAAGAGUUAAAUUAAAUAUAUUUUUUACGGGACAAAAAAUAAACUGAAUCCAUAAAAGAACUCGCAUGAGGAUGUAGGGGAGACACGAAGCCUAGCUGUGCUACGCCCUUCGCACCUAACAGACCAAAGCUCAUCUAAUCACUCAAAUCCACGUGUCGUCAAUCUAAGAAUUGAGGAAACAUUCAUCCAACGGUGAACAUGGGAUGGAAUAACUGGUAAUACAAACAAGAUAGACUUGACCAACGAGACAGAUCAAACUGUCGUUCUCCCUAUCUAUUCGCCCCUCUUAUAUGCUCUUUUUGCAGCUUCUGGUCUUUGGUUUCCACUUUCCAGAUUAAGCAGACGAGGAGGAAUAAUGGCUUUGGAGGUGAAAGCACUACCGUUCACGUUUGUUACACACGCGCUUGCAGUUGCAGGUGCAAUUUUGGUAUUGGUUUGGUGCAUAUAUUUCAGGGGCGGCCUAGCUUGGGAAGCUUCUAACAAAAGUCUCAUCUUCAAUGUAAGUGUCUCUGUUGUUCUUCUUAAUUUGGUCUGUGCUAUCUAUCCGUUUUGCGUUUUCAGGUAAAUUAAUCCUGUUUUCCCGAUCCUCAUCUAUCUCCUCCUAAUUUCUUGUGGUACUCAUUCAUGACAGUCGUUUUGUUUGUUUCUGAGGCCACUCAAUUCAUGCUUAUCAGAAUCAAAGGUUCUCGUUUGAUUGUGUCAUUGUAGUUACCGCCGUUUCUAUCAGCUUGUCGUUUUACUUUUACAAUUACCAAACAAUUAUUAUUAUUAUUAUUAUUAUUAUUAGGUUUUAAUAUUCUCUUUGAAGCUAUGGCUAAUGAAAGAGAGAAUGUUGACUUGCAAUUUGCCAUUAUCAGAAGUUAAAGGAUUUGGAAUUUUUUAUGAUAUCCUUUGUCUUAUAGAAUUAGAUGCUGCAUUGACUCUUUUUAAGACACUCAAACAGCUCACAAUAGUCGUCUUUAGUUGAUGUUUUAAUUUGUAACAACUUUUAUUUUCAUUUUUAUUUUUAUUUUUUUUUUAAAAAGCUAGGAGGUUGUAGAUUGGAUUCUUGAUAAUUUUGUAUGCUAUGGAAGCUUCAUUCUGAUUUGUGGGUGUAAUGACUUGGUAAAUAUUGCUUUUUUUAAUCAAGGGGUUAGCUAGAGUAAAAUCAGGUAAGACUAAUCAUAAAUUUUGCUCUUAGCACUUGUCCCAUUUGUACCAACUACCCUUCUCAUUCAUACCAGAAAACUCUCUACAACAACCAAUUGUCAUCCAUGCUGAAUUUUAGUUUUAUUAGCUAAUUUUCAACUCACGUCCUCACCAACUCUUCAAUUUUUUUUUUUCAAUAGAUAAUAAUAUAUAACGAUUACAUUAUUAAACAAUAUAACUAAUAAUUAUUAUUUUAACUGUUCAAAAUAAUAAUAAUAAUAAUAAUACCUGCCCAUACUUAACAACAUAGGUGAAAAAAUCUUUACAACUUUAACUUUUAUCUAAUUUUACCACUAGCACAACAAAGACUAACCGUAAUAAAACAAAUAACUAAAUAAAAAGACAAUAGGUGGAAAAUAUAGCUAGCUAAUUUUAAAAUCAAAAUUGAAUUUAUCCUUUUAAUGUAUGUAGUCAAUAUUACAAACUAAAUACAUUUUUCACCUAUUUUCUUUUCUCCGAUGUUCAACGAGGUGGAGAUGCUUAUCUUGUUUUUUUGGACUUUUUUUGAGCAAUCACGAGGUUUAUGACUAAUCAGUAUUCAAUGAUGUGGCGAUGAAUAGAAGAUAAAAAAAAAGCCUUUUUUUUUUUUUUUUUGUUAUUUUUUGUGGUUAAUAUGCCAAGAUUUGUCUCUUGUCAUUGGCCAGUUGCAAAGUAAACCAGUUGCAAAGUAAAGUGAUAAUAAUUCACUUUAUUUUCCACGUCUUUAAACACCUAUUUCUUUCUUCUUAAAAAAUAAAAAUUUCAAAUAUCAAAUCGGAAACAAAUUUUACAAGAAAAGGUAAAAUCAAACACCAAAAAUUUGUAUUAUUAUCUUUAUUCUGAACAAAAUAUUAUAAUUUUUAAGUCAAAUUCUAUUUCUAAUUUGUGCAAUUACGAUGUCUAUUUCUAAUUUUUUUUUUUUUUUUUUUUAUGAAGAUUAAAUGUUCUCAAUUCAAAUUAUAUUGAUAUAUUCGGCAUCUGGAUCUAAAUAUUUCCUGUUACGUAUGCAACAGAUUCAUCCUGUUCUGAUGCUAAUUGGCUUAAUCAUCAUAGGAGGAGAAGGUAAUCAUCUGAUGCUUUUUAUUAGUUACAAAUUAUGUAAUGAAAUUUAAUGAUUUUUUUUUUUUUUUUUUUUAGCUAACUAACUUUAUUUUCCUCUGUGAAAAUACAAAGUGCAGCCAUUAUAAGUUAUAAAUCUCUUCCUUUCAAGAAACAAGAGAAGAAACUGAUACAUCUGGUUCUCCACGCCGUUGCCCUAAUACUGGGUAUUAUUGGCAUCUACACUGCUUUCAAAUUUCACAAUGAGAGUAGCAUUGCCAACCUUUACAGUUUGCAUUCUUGGCUUGGGAUCACAAUCAUUUCCCUUUAUGGCAUUCAGGUAAGUAAUUCAUUCUCACUAAUUAAUUAUAACUUCUUCAUCUAAUUAAUUUUUCAUGAUAGGUUACAUGAGUUCAUAAUGUUCUACUCGUACUAUUUAGUAAACAUCUUUAACAUGAUUAAGAGCUCAAACCCUAAAAAGGAACUUUUUGACCUAAAAAAUGAAUAUAUUAAUUUCUUGGCAGUGGAUAUAUGGGUUCAUUAUAUUCUUCUACCCUGGAGGAUCGACUGGACUUAGAAGCGAAUCUCUACCAUGGCAUGUGGUUUUUGGGGUGUUGGUGUAUAUAUUAGCAGUUGCAAAUGCAGCAAUCGGUUUCUUGGAGAAGCUGACAUUCCUUGAGAGCUCCGGACUUGCUAAAUAUGGAUCGGAGGCUUUGCUUGUCAACUUCACUGCUGUGCUCACAAUAUUUUAUGGGGCCUUUGUCAUUUUCACAGUUCUUGGUCAGGGUCCGCCCGCGGAAGAGGAUCAUAGCUACACGGCUAUAUAAUGUGUAUUUUAGUAGAAACAUAACUAGGAUCGAUGUCUAUUAAUCCUUAAUUAGCAUUUGUAGCUAGAUCUAUUAAAAUGGCUGUUUCUGAUUAAUUAAAAUCAUGUAUAUCAUAUGUUGUACUUCAUCAUAUGGACUUCAUUUUAUCAUGCGAAUGACUGUAUUUAUUUUAUUCAAAUAGCGAGUUUUUAAUAAAUAAAUUAGUCUUCCUAAGAAAUUUUAAAUGAUUCUUAUAUCAUUUAUACUUUCUUUUCUAUUUUUUUUUAAGAAAAAUAUCAGAGCUUUUAUUAAUGAAAAACGGAAUGAGUUACAAUGAAUUAAAGCCUAUACUAUACUCACUCAGAACUGAGUUCCAAAUACAAAAUCCAGGGUGAGACAAAGCGGCCUCCCUAAGAGUGUAUUGGCAGACGACCUAUUAACUUGUCUCCAAAAGAACAUGUUCAGUUUAUUUUUGGUGCAAAACUAUUUUCUAUUAUCAAUACAAAGAUAAUUUAAUUUUUAUCAUUUUCACUUUAUUUUUGGUACGUCUUUUUUUUUUAUCGGAAAAAUUAUUAUGCGUUGCUACUUGCUAAAAUGAAACAAAAACAAAAAUAAAAACCAAAAAGUUGCGGAAUGAGGACACCCCCAGAUGCCCGGCCUGUUGGAAAUCACGCAGGCCUCGCGGCCCGUAUGAUUUGCUUUGCGCGAAUAGAAACGUAACUGGAAGAAGGUAUGGUUGCGGAGGCGACAGGUAAGCAGUCGGAGGGCCACGUGGUUAAGGACGCGUCAUCAAUCGUCACAGAAGCUAUAAGUAUCAACAGACCCCACAACGUGGCAGCAGAUGGUUGAUUGUUGUUUAGCCUCAUUCCUACAGUCAGCCAAGCCAACGUCGUUAUCGGUCCCCACCAUGAACCCAAUUACUUCCGGCUACCAAGCAUGGUUUACCUUUACCACCGUAUGCUUGUUUUUCAUUUAAAGAAAAUUUAUCCAUCCAUUAAUCAUCACUGUAAGGACAUUUUUCACUAAUACAGGGGAACAAAUAAAAAAUUUGAAAUAUUAUUACAAAUUUUUAUAAGAAAACAAUUUAAUUAAUCAUAUAUAGGUUUCCUUUCCCUUAUCUUUGCUGUAUUAUUUAUGAUUGAAACAAGUGAAUUAGAUUGAAUAAGUUUGAAGUUGUGUGGUGACACCUACACAUUACAAUAAACGUCCAUAUCAAUCAAGAUUAAUUCAAGGUUAGACAUGGCAAACAAGCUUUGGGCCACCUCAUAUCCACUGCGAUACGCAAUCCUACAUCGUUUUAUUGGUUCAAUUUUUAAAGCUAAAUGCCUAAAUCACAAAUAAUCUUUAAUAUAUAUAUAUAUAUAUAUAUAUAUAUAUAUAUAUAUAUNNNNNNNNNNUUAUAUAUAUAUAUAUAUAUAUAUUAAUAUAAAACGUGAAAAUUGUUACGUAUUAUACUAAUAUCACUUUGUCCUAAAAUAUUAAAAAAAAAACAACAGCUUGGUAUUCUUAAAGUUGCAAUAAAAGGCCUUCAAUAUUAAGCAGUUGCUUAUCCAAUAAUUAAUGUAAAUAGUUUUCAAUUAAUCAAAUCAAUUUAACUGUUGGAUUAAUAUUUUAAGUAUAUCCCGUUACGUUAUUAGAAUAUAAUUACAGUAGUUACUUAGAAAUGAAAAGAAAAUCGUGGGUUGGAAUUAUAGACUAUUAUUGGUAAUAUAUAUAUAUAAUUUAUAUAUUUAUAUUUCAUUGGUCCCACAUUGCUUUUUUGGGCAAACAACUCCCUGGCUUGCAUAGCUAUUAAUCUAAUCAAAUUGUAGGCGGUCCACUAGCAUAUAAUUUGCUUCAAGAUCAUAGAUAUUAUUCAAGAAAAAAAAAAGAGGUUGCAUUUUAUUUCAUCCGUAAUAAAGCAUUAAUGAAGAGUGGCUGCUAUAAAUUAUGAAAAGAAAUUAUUAUCAUAUCCGAAAAAGGUAUGAAAUACUUAUGAAAAUUAAAAAAAAAGAAACAAAUUAUUUUAUUAAAUUUUGAUUGCUAGUAGGAAAUUUGAUAUUUAGCUAUAAAAAAGUAUCAAAUUCAAAUCUCGCUGAUGUAAUAUUUUUUCAUAAUAGUACAAAAAUGUUAAAAUUUUUUAUAAAAACAAAUGAAGAGAUUUAUAUUCCAAAAUUAAACAUAUGUUUUUAUUUUUUGAGAAACAUUAUUUUGCCAUUUAGAACAGACAGGCAUUAUUUAUUUUAUUAUUGUUUGUGUAUUGGUAGGGACAGAAGUAUAAUUAAGAAAUAAAAAAAAGGACUCAAUAGCGAAAAAGAUGAUCAGCCACUUUUCAAUGGGGCCCACAAAAGAAUCCGUUACCACCAUUUAAUAUGAAAGAAUAUAUAUAAAUUAAAUGGCGGAAUCUUUUUAGACAAGGAAGGUAAGCGACGUCGUUUUGAAGGGGAAGACGAAUACGUACAAUUAUGAAUCUAGUAAACGAUGUCGCUUUGCGGAGCCAGGUAGUUUCCUUAGAAAGGCAAUCAAUGAUUAUAUAUUCCGUUACUAAUUACAAAUUCUCCAACAAGAUUUUUGAUUUUUUAAACUGAAAAAAGGAAUUAUUACGUUGAACAGAGCAGAGAGAGAAUCCGAGUGUCACUCUCUGCCAACGCAAGGUAGAAGAUACAUAGCCAAGCACAAAGGACCUACCAAACCAGUCCAGCUCAUUGUUUAAAGAUACAGUUACCCACUUUCAACUAUAAUAUCUCAACCAACACAACCUCUCUCUCUCUCUCUCUACUAUCACAAUUCACUUAUUAUCUUCUUUGCAAUUAAAUUCUCUUUUUGCCUUUUUCCUAACUUUCCUCGAUCAGUUCCUAAAUUGGAUAAGCAGGUACUGAUAUGGCUGAAGAAGAGUCCAAGAAGCUGGAAACUGAAACUCCCUCUCCUCCGGCUCCAGCUCCUGCUCCUGCUUCUGCUCCUGCUCCGGUAACCGAACCUGUUGAACCUCCAAAAGAUGUGGCUGAGGAGAAAUCCAUAAUUCCACCACCUUCGGAAGAGAAGACCGAGGAGUCCAAGGAGCUUGUUCCUGUUGA